UUUUCAAGUCACAGGAACCAAAAUAUUGUAGCCACGUUAGAUUAGCACAAGAAUGUCGGCAUUUUUUUAAGACCAAGAUAUUUACAUGGUCCUUAUCGAAUUGAUGGAGCAGAAUGCGAUAAUCUUCUUGGGUUCUAACUUUAAAAGUUAAUCAAACAAAGACUAUAUUAUAU